AUUGAACGCUGGCGGCAUGCUUUACACAUGCAAGUCGAACGGUAACAGGCCGCAAGGUGCUGACGAGUGGCGAACGGGUGAGUAAUGCAUCGGAACGUGCCCAGUCGUGGGGGAUAACGCAGCGAAAGCUGCGCUAAUACCGCAUACGAUCUAUGGAUGAAAGCGGGGGACCGAAAGGCCUCGCGCGAUUGGAGCGGCCGAUGUCAGAUUAGGUAGUUGGUGGGGUAAAGGCUCACCAAGCCAACGAUCUGUAGCUGGUCUGAGAGGACGACCAGCCACACUGGGACUGAGACACGGCCCAGACUCCUACGGGAGGCAGCAGUGGGGAAUUUUGGACAAUGGGGGCAACCCUGAUCCAGCAAUGCCGCGUGCAGGAAGAAGGCCUUCGGGUUGUAAACUGCUUUUGUCAGGGAAGAAAUCCUCUGGGUUAAUACCUCGGGGGGAUGACGGUACCUGAAGAAUAAGCACCGGCUAACUACGUGCCAGCCGCCGCAGUAAAAC
rnacentral:rRNA from 1 species